GUGACAAGUGCCAGCGCUUCUCUAACGUGCAAAGACAGCCUGCUCAGAGCCUCUCUGUAGUGACCAGCCCUUGGCCAUUCGCCAAGUGGGGCAUCGACUUCAUUGGUCCACUCCCAAAAGGGAGGGGAAGCGCAACUUUCGCCAUUGUCGCCAUCGACUACUUCACUAAGUGGGUCGAGGCAGAACCCCUUGCCCGAAUCACCGAGGCCAAUACUACGAAGUUCGUUUGGAAAAACGUCAUUUGUAGAUUCGGCAUCCCCCACUCCAUUGUCUCUGAUAAUGGGCGGCAGUUCGACAAUAGGAAGAUGCGAGACUUAUGCGACGAACUGGGCAUAAAGAAGGACUUCUCGACUCCGCAUCACCCCCAGGCAAAUGGACAGGUUGAAGCAGUGAACAAGACUAUCAAGCACACCCUGAAAAGGAAACUGGAUGCCUCGAAAGGCGCCUGGGUUGACGAACUCCCCCACGUCCUCUGGGCCAUCAGAACGACUUGCCGGACUGCAACCGGCGAAUCCCCAUUUUCCAUGACCUACGGAGCUGAAGCAAUGAGUCCAAUCGAAG
rnacentral:lncRNA from 1 species